GAUGAACGCUGGCGGUAUGCUUAACACAUGCCAGUCGAACGGACUCUUCGGAGUUAGUGGCGGACGGGUGAGUAGCGCGUGAGAAUCUGGCUUUGGGUUCGGGACAACCACUGGAAACGGUGGCUAAUACCGGAUGUGCCGAGAGGUAAAAGAGAAAUUGCCUGAAGAUGAGCUCGCGUCUGAUUAGCUAGUUGGUGAGGUAAAGGCUCACCAAGGCAGCGAUCAGUAGCUGGUCUGAGAGGAUGACCAGCCACACUGGGACUGAGACACGGCCCAGACUCCUACGGGAGGCAGCAGUGGGGAAUUUUCCGCAAUGGGCGAAAGCCUGACGGAGCAAUACCGCGUGAGGGAAGAAGGCUCUUGGGUUGUAAACCUCUUUUCUUAGGGAAGAACAAAAUGACGGUACCUAAGGAAUCAGCAUCGGCUAACUCCGUG
rnacentral:rRNA from 1 species